UGCCCAUCAACUCCUAUCCCUACCUCCUCGCGGUACUGGCCGGGGUACGAGUAACCUCAGGGAAGAUCGGGUAACCAACCCCCGGUGGGAAAUUUGGUCGUAUGCUGACAGGGAAGG
rnacentral:ribozyme from 1 species